rnacentral:rRNA from 1 species
UACGUAGGGCGCAAGCGUUGUCCGGAAUUAUUGGGCGUAAAGAGCUCGUAGGCGGCUUGUCACGUCGGUUGUGAAAGCCCGGGGCUUAACCCCGGGUCUGCAGUCGAUACGGGCAGGCUAGAGUGUGGUAGGGGAGAUCGGAAUUCCUGGUGUAGCGGUGAAAUGCGCAGAUAUCAGGAGGAACACCGGUGGCGAAGGCGGAUCUCUGGGCCAUUACUGACGCUGAGGAGCGAAAGCGUGGGGGGCGAACAGG